UACGUAGGGUGCAAGCGUUACUCGGAAUUACUGGGCGUAAAGCGUGCGCAGGCGGUUAUGUAAGCCAGAUGUGAAAUGCCCGGGCUUAACCUGGGAACUGCAUUUGUGACUGCAUGGCUAGAGUUUGGCAGAGGGGGGUAGAAUUCCACGUGUAGCAGUGAAAUGCGUAGAUAUGUGGAGGAACACCGAUGGCGAAGGCAGCCCCCUGGGUCAAGACUGACGCUCAUGCACGAAAGCGUGGGGAGCAAACAGG
rnacentral:rRNA from 1 species